CUGGAGGCCUUCAAGGCUAAGUAGGAUGGGGCCCUGGGCAACCUGCCCACAGCAGGAGGUUUGGAACUAGAUGAUCUUUAAGAUCCCUUCCAACCUAAGAUAUUCCAUGAUUCUAUGAUUCUAUGUACUUGCUUGCAGAGAUUCCAUCUGAGAUUUUGUUCAUCCGUUCAAGAGAAAUCAAGGAUUUAGGAGCAACAGGAGAGUUCCUGGUAAGAAAAUACAAAGUGGCAGAAAACAAUCUGUAUUGCAUAGUGCCCUUACAGAGACAAGAGGAUGGACCAACAUCUGAAUUCAGGUUUCUAGAACUGCAAAAUGAAGGUCACAUAAAAAAGCUUUUUUGUUCUGUUCUAUAAGAAGACACAUAAGAAACUGGGAGAUAAGAGAAGAAAAUCAGUGUCCUACAGAAGAGCAACCAACAAGGCUUACCGGUAUGAACACAAAUGUGCCAAGAGACUUCAGUGAAGUUUAAGUGCUUCCAUGAAUUAAAGAAAAAUAACUUCGGGAGUUUAUUUAGGCAUCGUAUGACCCUUGAGACUAACGGGAAAUCAGGCCCUAAAAAUUGCUUCAUCCCUAGAUUGGUAUAAAGCAAGUAGGCUGGGCGUUGACAGUGAUCUAAAACUGGUGUCAUGUUUUAGAAAAUGGCUUCAGCAUUCAGUAUGAUCCUCAGUUAGAACAGCUACUCUUUGGCUAGUGGUUCCUGCAAUGUUUUAGUAUUGAGAAGGAACACUUGCAUAAACAUAGAUUAAAAUCCUAUGCACAGAAACCAUCAGACUGAGUGCAUUAGCAGACUGCGUGUGAAAUCAGAGGCACAAUUUCUCUCCUUUGCCAAGACUACUUCACUGAAAUAUAAUUACAAAUGGAUGCAUUCAGAAGGCAAUGUGCAGGAAGACUACUGCAAGUAAAGAAAUUGAAGUAGGAAGCGUCACUGGUUACCCGUCACAUGACAUUCACAUUCUGAAGUGGAAGGCACAACAAAAAUAUCUUGGCCAAAAAUGACCAAUCAACCUUACAAAAAUAAUAAUAAUAAUAAUAAAAAAAUUAUUGGACUGAAUUUUCUCUUCUACUCCAAAAGAUAUUUUGAUAUUUCUCAGACAAAGCACUUUAAACAACUUGGGUGUGUUUAAAGCAAAUCAGUUCUCCAUUGAUCUUAGUUUGAAAUGUGAUCUUCUGUAGGUAAGUGCCUUUUUCUGUAUUCAGAAAGAGGCAGCUUCUUUAAUUUGGAGUCAAGUUAAAAUUUUAAAGAAAACACUUAAAACCUUCAGUUCAGAAAAGGAGAAUGGAGUCAGAAUUAAAGGUUGUACUCAUUUUUAUGAGAGUGAGAGAAGGAAAGAGAAAAUUCUUUUAUGACCUCAUCUUCAAAGCACAGUGCGAAGAAUUAAAUAACAGCUAAAUAGGUUUUCAUCAAUGCAGCAAAAUAAUUAUCUGGGAAAAGUUAUAUAACCUCUAACAAACAAGAUCAGAGAUCAAGAUAUUUUUAUUUCUAGUCUGUAAUAUUCCCCCCUGCAUAAAGUAACUUCUCAGACAGAAAAAAACUUAUCAUCUUCAGAGGGCUGAAAACAAAUGACCUGUUAUUUUAGCACUAAUUAAGAUUCCUCCAUGCAGAGUCUAAUAGAGAAAUUCAUUAUUGAGUCCCACUGGUUAUUUUUAUUUAUCUGUAACACACACACCCAUAACUCCAUCCUGAACAAAUAAAUUGCAUCCUCACUUCAAGAGUCAAUUUAAAAGAGCUGCUUUUUGUUCCUUAGUUGAAACCAAAUUCCAGUCUGUUCCACUGACUUGUCUUUUCACUCUUUCCUCGAAUGUAAUUACUUCCCUUUAACAGAAUAUACCCGGGCAUAGGAAAUCAAACCCACUGGUUAAGAUCCAGCUAGCAACCAAAGAUCUAGAUAUGAAUGAAGUGUUGAACAGCAUGUCCUUGGAAAAGUAGCUUUGAGUUCCAGUUAUUAAUCUAUCACAGAUACUGCAUUAAAUAGACUAUUACUGUUCUCGGCAACCAUAAUCAAGUAAUCAUCACAUGAAAUGAAGGUGAAAAGCUGCCUCUCUUUAAGCCAGCAGGACUGCUACAAUCAGGCUCACUGUAGUCAGGAUUCAUUCUGCUAGCUUGGGACUUCCCACUCAAGUGUGUGCAGAGCAAUAGGCUCUGUUGCAUAUCACAUAGCUGAAGGACAUAGAAUAUGAUUUUUUGUCCUUCAGAAGGCCCUUGCCAGGACAGUACAUGCUUUGUUGUUAAGCUGGAUAUAGUUUGCUUCAGUGGUACUAACUGGUAAACAUAGCAAGGUCACCUCUUUUCCCCAUUGUGCUGGGAAGUAACAUUUUCCAGCAUAAAAAGGAUUACAUGAGUACCUCAAAAAGAACAAAACAAAACAUCCACAUUCUGGAUCCUGAAAAGAGUAAAGUUCAUGGUAUAAAUGGGGUGAAGGGUGAGGUGAAGGGUAAGAUGGAAGAACAAUUCAGCUGUCUAGCUCAGGUAACUAAUGAAUCUGAAAAUGUUUUGUAAGUGAUUGUUUGAUUUUUCCUGGUUUUUUUUUUUGCACUGAGACAUUUGGUGACCCCACUGUACGUAUAGAUAAGCAAAUAUUUAGAUACUUGCAGGCCAGAGUUCUUCUGGGACCCUGAUUGUACAGGUGCCAGGCUUCUAAGUUAGGAAACAUCAUUUUGAAUAGAAUUCCUCAUUUCAAACAUUCUAAAUUAAAAAAAUAAUAAUACCAAGAAAUCUCUCAGGAGAACACUACACCAUGAUCAUUUAUUUUAAAAUUAUUUUGGAGUAUUUUUGGUGACUUUUGGCUGACUGAGAUUUAUUGUCUCUAAUUGUCACUGCCAUUUUGUGAGGAUGUGCUUCUGUUGACAUUUUCAUGCACAUCAAUCACAAUAAAUUACAAGUAUUGUGGCCAAGGGAUAAUGUGUUUUGUCAUUGUGGAAUUGUGAAGUUGCAGCUAAGACUGUCCAUAACCACACUCAGCUUUCUUGUCAGCUCUAAUUGCCCCACAAGUCACUGUCCAUUUCCAGAUUUUCAAGUCACAGUGUGGUGUUCUUCAAGUUGUUGCCUCUGCUCCCAGCUCUUCCUUCUGAAACAGCUCCCUAGAAAGCUGCAUACAUCACAACUCAGUGCAUGCUGCUUGGAAUCUACUCUGGGAGUCCCUCCUAGCCCAGCAACACACUGAUGUCUGACACACCUUUGAUCCCAGUGCCAAGCGGGGCAGGGCAGAACAGGAUGGUGAACAGCACUGCAGAUGACAAGCAACACACAGCUUAUGGACUAGCACAGUCUUGUUUCUCCAAGCUGAGUGGUAGUACUGGAGAAACAGAGUCAAGUAGCUUAGGUACUGUACCUGAAAAGCAGAAGUUAUUAUCCCGUGUUUUUUGUCUCCUUAAAGAAAACAGUACACACAAUACAGGUUCUACUAAACUGUCAUUAAUUUUUUUGAGUUGUCAUAGAGCAUUAGAAUACCAUUCUUGUACAUGGUGGAGUAAAUAAUAAUUUUGUGAGAAGAAAAGGUGGAGAGUAUAUUCACUAAUAUGGAAAUACAUACUUAGGGAGGUGAAAAAGAAAGUAUUUGGACAGCUCACGAAAGCAGACACUUUGAAGGUAUUUGGAGUCUGGAAAAUUUUUUUCAAGUUUGUAACAAGUGAAUCUGUGAGGGUCAUUUUACUGUAUUUUGAGAGCUAACCAACUCACCCCUUUCACGCUCAAGUGAAUUAGUGGUGAGACGCUGCAAUUUGCAUUAUACAGUUUUGUGUUUGUAAGUUUGCAUCCAGCAGAAACCAGAAUAAGGGGAAACACGAUUAAAGUAGUAUAAACACAUCUCACACUUCUGGCACAAAGACCUGGUCCUUAGCAUGUUAGAAAAACUGAAUUGAAAGCACAAGAAGUUACAAGAAGUAACUCUGUGGUUUUGUGAUCACUCACAGAGUAAAAACAGAAAGAAAAAUGAAAAUUUCUCCUCUUUUUGUGGUAUCUCGAUCAAAUAAGUGAAGUGUUGAAAUACAAUAGCAGAAGCUGCUGAUCACAAAGGCAACAAUCUCAUGAAGGUUCUUCCACUUCACUUGAUCUUCUCUAAAGAAACUGUUCUUAGCACUGUCUCAGUCAUACCUUCACAGCUAAUCAGAGUAAAGGGACACACAGUGCUAAUAAGCCCUGAAAAGUGAAGGAAUGAUAAGAAAGCCAGAAUAUGUACUGAGCUAGCAGAGCAGAAUGCAGUGGUUGGCUGCUGGUGAAAUGUGAUGCCGCCUGAGAAACAUCCCCAACAACACACAACGGCUACCUGAAUUACCCCAGCUAAUUCUGAUUAGGAAGAUGAAGUGAUUCAGAAGAGGGGGUAAUAGUUUAUAUUACUGGCUAUCACCACACAUCUGCCAUUACAAUCUAUGAAAUACUGACACGCAUGAGAGUAUAGAACUUAACAUCCAAGCAGGAAGUAAGCCCAGCACACGGCAGGGUUAAACCCGAGCACCACGCUGAGAGCAUCCACACACCUAAGAGCAGACCCUUUCUGUCCCAGGAAAUACAGCGUUUCAGGCUUCAGCAGCUCUGCUGUCUACACCACCUCAGCACACUCUGCACAGAACACUCCCACUUCAUGUGCUGGAACCCUCUUUGAUCCUUUCUUCACCACUUCCAACUUUUUGGACAGAAGAUAUUGAUUUCAGCUCACAAGGCUGAGGUAAAACCUGGGCUUUGCUGACUUUCUAGUAAUUUGUCAUAUAAGCACUGCAGCUUUCUUGGACAUAGCAGACAAAGAAAUGUCACUUCUGGGAAUAAGUUCUACAUUUUAUUUUUCAUGUGAACCUCAUUCACUGUAUAGCCCUUGGAGUGGCUGGAAUUGCAGACAAUCUCUGUAUCGCUGGUAGUAAGCAUGGGUCCUAUUUCCUGUUCAAAGAGAAAGUGACUGAUGCUUGGCAAAGAGCUGGGAAUAUAAUCUCCCAGAUAUACUGAUUAUUGUCCAUAAUGCCUUAGUACAUCAAGUGGAGAAAUAGCAUGCGAAACUGCGGUGGCCAGAGAGUGACUUGGACAGCCAGACUCUACAGGAUCUGGAGACCUGUGUUUCAAUUAAAUUUCCUAAACGCCAUUUAGUAUUUCCUUCCUAAUAAUCAUGCACAGAAAAGGGAUUCAUUUUGUUACGGUUAUAAAUCAUGGAAGCCUCCAUGCUGAGGACAAGACCAAAGAACAUACUUUAGUCUCAUCUCUCAAACAAGGAUCUGUGCAGGAAAUCAUGACAUUUACUGAAGCCACAGUGCCGUUCCUCUCUAUUUGCAGGCAGCUCACCACUUGCAAACACAUUUCUUAUGAAGCAGGUUAGACUUGGUCCUCAACUGAAUGUGCUUUCUCUUUAUUAAGGCACAGAUACCAUAAUAACAAAUCUGAUGGGUAACAGUUUCUAAAAAUCAUCAGUAAUUUUGAUUGCUUACAACAGUCUUGUAUGAUCAAAAAAAUUUUUUUUCAAAGUGUAUAUAUUUUUGUCUGGAUUUCUCUGCAUUAACACUUCAGUCUGGAACAGGAGUUUGCUCUUGAAGUACGUCUCUGACCAUACUAACUCACCUCAUGUAAUGGAUCACCCAAACUGGAUACAUUUUGAAGGAAACUAAGCCUGAAGCUUUGCCACAGUAAAACAACAAAUGAAAUCCAGCAAAAAAAAAAAAAAAAAAAAAAAAAA